CCCCAGUGGUAGAGGUAUUAACCAUUAACCAUGUCUUAAUAAUUAACUGGUAUUAAUCCAGUUCCAGAUGUCUCCAAAAGGGACCAGCUGCUGGACAAAUCUGAGCCUGUGAGUUUCACCUCUGUGGUAAAGUAUUUAAAAAAGGAUAAAAAUAUUGAACAGCAGCUUUGAGAGGAGGGAGAAAAUAUGGAGGGAAACAGUCAUGAAGACACCAAGCUCAGUGAAGAAGGAGGAAAAGAGAUGUUCCAGGCACCAGAGCAGGAUGUUCCCUGUGAGACUGUGAUGAAGUGUGAUGAAGAAGGUUUGAGCCCCUGCAGCCCAUGGUGUAUCAUAUCAGAGCAGAGCAGAGCAGAGCAGAGAUCUACACUACAGUCUGUGGAGGACUCCAUGCCAGAGCAAGCACACCUGCUUUGAAGUAAACUUCAGUUUUUAGAGAUGAGCUCAUGCUGAAGCAGGGGAGGAGCAUUACAAGGAAGGAACAGUAGAGGCAAAGUGUUAUGAACUGACCACAACCCCAUUCCACUGUCCUCAUUCCCCUGAAUCAUGUAAGGCAGAAGACAUAGAAACCUCAAGAUUGAAGUUGAGCCUAAGAAGAAGAGGUGGACAGGAGAAGGAGUCACAGAAGGCUGGAACUUCUUCAAGAAGUCUGAUCUGCUUGGCUGACCAGAGAGCUUCAUUUGGAAUAGAGUGAUUAGCUCAGGAAGAAUGGGAAGGCAACAUACGAGGAAAAAUGUAGUGAUGGAAGACGAGAAUAAGGCUGAGUCCUGUUUGUUGCCUGGGAGAAGAGGCCAAACCCCUCCUCAUCACAGCCUUCGUUCAGGAAAUUGGAGACUGCGGUCAUCAAUGAAGAUACUAAACAAGAUGGACACUAGUACCAAACCCUGGAGGACACCACUUGAAACAGGUUGCCAGCUGGACUUAACUCCAUUAACCACUACGUGUCGGGCAUGGCCCUCUAGCCAGUUCCUUCCCCAAAAAAGGGUAUACCUGUCCAGGCCACGGGCAGCCAGUUUUCCCAGGAGAAUGCUGUGAGAGAUUGUGUCAAAGGCUUGGCUGAAGUCUAGGCAGAGUACAUCAACAGCUUUUCCCUCAUUUAUCAGUCUGGUCACCCAGUUGUAGAAGGAGAUGAGGUUGGUCAAGCAUGACCUGCCUUUUAUGAAGCCAUGCUGGCUGGGCCUGAUCCCCUGGACGCCAUGCACAUGCUGUGUGAUCUCACCCAAGACGAUUUGCUCCAUAACUUUCCCUGGUACUGAGGUCAGGCUGACAGGCCUGUAGUUCCCCAGAUCCUCCUUAAAGCCCUUCUUGUAGAUGGGAGUCACAUCAGCAAGCCUCUGGAACCUCUCCAGAUAACCAGGAGUGCUGGUAGAUGGCCAAGAGCAGCUCAGCAAUCAUCCCUGCCAGCUCCCUCAGUAUCCGAGGGUGCAGCCCACCUGAUCCCAUGGACUUGUGACAGUCCAGAUGGAGGAGAAACUCUCUAACUGUCUCCACCUGAAUCACCAGGGGUGUAUUCUGUAUAGCAUCCCAGACUUCCAGAUCAGGGUGUAAAGUGCCCUGAGGAUAACUGAUCUGACUAUUAAAGGCAGAUGUAAAGAAAGCACUGAGGACCUCAGCCUCUCCUUAUCCUCAGAGGUCACAUUGCCCGCUGCAUCAAGUAAAGGAUGGAAAUUCUCCAAGGUUCUUCUGUUACAUCUAAUUUAUUUGUAGAAGUAUUUCUUAUUCUCUUUCACUGCAGUGGCCAAUCUGAGUUCAAGUCAGGCUUUUGCUUUCCUAACUUCCUAACUGCAUACCUCAGCAACUUCCUUGUUAUCUCCUCCCCAAGUUGCCUGUCCCUUCUUCCAGAGGACACAGACUCGGUUUUUUUCCAGAGUCUCAACAAGAGUUCAUGGUUUAUCCACACCAGUCUUCUUCCCCUACGGCUCGCCUUAUGGCACUCAGGGAGUCCUGUUCUUGUGCCUUUAAGAUUUCCAUCUUGAGGAGCGUCCAGGCUUACUGGACCCCUUCACCCUUAAAGAGCAACUCCCAAGGGACCUGUGCUACAAGCGUCCUGAACAGGUCAGAGUCCGCCCUCUGGAAGUUAAAGAUAGCAGUUUUGCUAGUCACCCUUCUGACAUCUCCAAGAAUAGAGAACUCUACAGUUUCAUGGUCACUCUGCCCAAGACAGUCCCCAGCCUUCACAUCUCCCACCAGUCAUUCACUGUUUGUGAAGAGCUGGUCUAGCAGGGCACCACCCCUGGUAGGCUCUCAUACGAGCUGUGUAAGGAAGCUAUCUUCCACGCACUCUAGAAACCUCCUGGACUGCUUCCUCUGCACUGUAUUAUAUUUCCAACAUAUAUCAGGUAAGUUGAAGUCUCCCAAGAGAAUGAGUGCAGGCGAUUGCAUGACUUCACAAGCUGCUCAUAGAAUGCCUCAUCCAUCUCUUCAUCCUGAUGAGGUAGUCUGUAACAGACUCCCACCAAGACGUCACCCCUACAGGCCUCCCCCCUGAUCCUUACCUGUAGACACUCAACUUCAUCAUUCCCAACCCCAAGCUCUUCAACAUCAAAACACUCUUCAAUAUAAAGGGCCAUACCACCACCCUUCCUUCCUCGUCUAUCCCUUCUGAAGAGCUUAUAGCCAUCCAACACAGCACUCCAGUCAUGGGAGUGGUCCCACCAUUUUUCAGUAAUAGCAACUAGGUCAUAGUUAGCCUGCUGCACAAUCGCUUCCAACUCCUCCUGCUUGUCGCCCAUGCUGCGUGCAUUGGUGUAGAUGCACUUGAGCCAAGUCAUCUGCCUCAUCCCCAUCUCAGGCAUUGUUCCCCCAGGCUCAUCUCUGGUUAACCCUGUUUUUUUCCCUUCCCCUGUCAUAGCUAGUUUAAAGCUCUUUUGAUAAGCCCCGCUAACUCCUGCCCUAGGAUUCAUUGUCCGCUUUGAGAUAGGUGGGUUCCAUGCAGAGACAACAGGCCAGGGGCCAAGUAAACUGACCCAUGAUCAAAGAACCCAACGUUUCUGCCUUGACACCAGCCUCUGAGCCAAUUAUUUAUUGCUUGUGCUUUCCAAGCCCACUCUGUGUCCCUCACUGCCCCUGAAGGUAUAAAGCUAAAGAUCACUUGAGCUCCCACUCCUUGAACUAAGCUCCCUAAACCCCUGCAAUCUCUCUUCAUAGUUUGUAGGCUUCUCAGAGCAAUUUCAUCACUGCCCACCUGAACUAUGAGUAAUGGAAAGGAAUCCGUGGACCUAACCUGCUAGGGGAGUUUCCUGGUUAUGUCUCUGACCCAGGCCCCUGGAAGGCAACACCCUUCCCAGUUGCGCAGGUCCAAUCUACAUAUGGGGCCCUCCAUUCCUCUGAGAAGGGAAUCUCCCAUCACAACCACAUUUCUUUCUCUCCUGACAGAGGCAGUCUCAAGGCGUGGGGGGUGACCACAUUGCCUUAGACUCCUUCCUAGGCAGAUCCUCCAUCACCUCCCUACUCCCCUCCCCUUCAAUUUCUAGAAUCUCAAACCUGCUGCUUAGAGGGAGCUGGGGACACAGGGUAGGCAGGCACGGGGGCCCCCGUGACACCAAGCCAGGACUCUCUUCCAGUUCUCCUCAUCAGACAGGUCUGUCUGACUGUGACAGGGCAGGAGGUCAACCACUUUUCUGGGGAUAUCUCCCUAGCACCCUUCCCUCCAGCAUACCAUCAAGUCACUCCACCAGUCAGUCUCCCGCUCACACUCCCUGAUGGUCCUUAAUCUUUGCACCUCCUCCUUGAGCUCCACGACCAGGCUGAGCAGCUCAUCCACCUGCUCACACCUCACACAUGUGGAAUCCCUGCCACCCUCCCCAGGCAGCAGCAGGCACUCCCUGCAGCCAGAGACCUGAACUGCCACAUUUCUGGGCAG
ensembl:lncRNA